rnacentral:ncRNA from 1 species
UGAGUUCACACCUUGGCCGACAGGCCCGGGUAAUCUUUGAAAUUUCAUCGUGAUGGGGAUAGUCAUUGCAAUUGUUGGUCUUCAACGAGGAAAUCCUAGUAAGCUCGAGUCAUCAGCUCGCGUUGACUACGUCCCUGCCCUUUGUACACACCGCCUGUCGCUCCUAUCGAUUGAAUGAUCCGGUGAAGUGUUCGGAUCACGGCGAUGUGGGUGGUUCGCCGUCUGCAACGUCGCGAGAAGUCCACUAAACCUUAUCAUUUAGAGGAAGGAGAAGUCGUAACAAGGUUUCAGUAGGUGAACCUGCAGAAGGAUCAUUG